rnacentral:lncRNA from 1 species
AAUGUUUGUCUGGUGUAGAAUCUGUGCCUGCUCACAAAUCUUUAUUUGAAACAGCCAAGCCUUUUAGUGGGGAGGUUAAAAAAGUGCAUGUUCCGGACUUGAAAACAUUAGUUGGUGAGGAAAGAGUUAAUUUGGUAGUUCAUUCAGGUGAUGAAAGAGAAAAAGUUAUUUCUGCCAGUGCAGAUAUUAACUCCUCUGUCAGUUUUAAUCCUAAACCUGUUGGCCAUAUUGCUGGAAGAGAAUUGUACUCUGAUCCUGUGAAAGGAAUUGACUCCAAGAAGAUUUCUCAGCCAGUUGAUCUUUGUUUGGAUCUGGAUAUACCACUUGAAUUAGAUGCACUGCAGGGUGUCAGCUUUAAUCCUAAACCUGUUGGCCAUAUUGCUGGAAGAGAAUUGUACUCUGAUCCUGUGAAAGGAAUUGACUCCAAGAAGAUUUCUCAGCCAGUUGAUCUUUGUUUGGAUCUGGAUAUACCACUUGAAUUAGAUGCACUGCAGGCGGGGAAGGAAUCUUUUC